rnacentral:rRNA from 1 species
GUAUCAGUUAUUUUCUUUAAACCCAAAGAAUUUGGCGGUAGUUUAAUCUUAUCAGAGGAACCUGUUGUGUAAUUGAUAGUCCACGAUUUUAUUUACUUGUUUUUGUUUUUCAAUUUUUAUACCUCCGUCAUAAGAAUAUUUUUAUAGAAUAAAUUUUCUUUUUUAAUAAAGUUAAGUAUGUCAGGUCAAGGUGAAGUUAAUGUACAAGUACUAAUGGGUUACAAUAAGGUUACUUAUACGAAAAUUUAAUGUUUAAUUAAGUUGAAGGUGGAUUUGAUAGUAAAAUGAUUUAUUUAAUUUUUUGGUAUUAGCUCUAAACUAUGCACACAUCGCCCG